UGCACGUUGACUGAUUGUGACAAGACAAACAGGAAUGUCUGCUGAAUGACCCUUCUAGAUCCCUGUGGGUGUCUUGGCAAUGAGCUGGCCAGGCCUGGUGGCUUCUUCUUGCCUCUCUCCAAGGACUUGCAGUUCUGGGCAGCUGUUGUUCCCUGCACUGGAAUGUGACCUCGAUGAGUAACUGGUACCCAUGUGCGGACUGAUCUCCCUCCAUUCACAAGACUCUUCCCGCAGGGCAGAAGCAGGCAAGGCUGCCUCUAGAGUCUUUGAAGUUCAGGCCACCCCCCAGGCAAAUGUAACAUGAAGGUGCCAGGCCUAUGGAGGACUUGUCUUUCUGUAGAUUCCUGCCAGGUUUGUGUGGCCCUCUGCUCAGCUGGGGGCUAGCCAAGCCGUCAUGCAGAUAGCUCAGUGAAUACAGGUGCGUGCUGCUGCCAAGCCAGACAACUUGAGUCAGAUCCUGGAACCUACAGGGGGAAAGGGGAGAAUACACCCCUGAGGCUUGUUCUUUGACCCCACAUAUGCACUGUGACGAAAAUAUGUGACUACACGUGACCUACAAGCCUGCACAGCUAUGCACUUGUUUUGCUUCAAUAACAUAUGAACUAGUAUUGACACAUACUGGGAAUUAAUAUGCAUUCAAAGGAUUUCUUCAUAAGACAAUUUCCCCAUGCUUGCGGUGCACGGUGAGGAACGAGAGUGCUCUGCUCUUUACGCUCUUAUCCUGGACUGUGAUUAAAGCCACAUUAAUGCAAACAUGACUAAUUUGGAAUUUAUGGGAAUUCCAUUGAAGCUGAACUUAGCCAUUGUUCUCUGAAAAAAAAAUUAUUAAGAAAAUUACCACAUAAAAAAGGAUGCCAAAUGACUCCCUAGAGAGCCACAGAGACUUUCUGACUUCUAAGAGGCAUCCCAGAUACCACCAAAAAGGUACAAGCAUAACUAAAGCCCACG
rnacentral:lncRNA from 1 species